rnacentral:misc_RNA from 1 species
GCGACCUCUCGCAGUGUGCUAUUCGUAAUCGGGGCGUAAGAGUGCACCGGUGCUCGGACGACUUACCCCACGUGCGCGCGUAUAUCAUGCGAUGUGCCCCGCCGCCAGUCGUCACAUUACCGUUAACGCGUGCGAGUCGAGUGUGAAACCGAUUGGUGUUUAGAAAAAUACUCCGCUUCAUUAGUAUUUUAUUUGUUGAAAGAUUUACAAUUUUUUUUGCAAAUAAAAUAAAAUAUUAAACGAUUGCGUUUUUAGAUAAUUUUUUAAAAUUUUUUUUCCCGUUCGUGUUUUCAAUGAAAAAUCACUGAUCGGUCCCGACGAUUGUUAAAUAUUUCUCGUCGUUUGCAUUUCACGGUGAAAAAGAGUCAUCCAUAUAAAAUAAUACAUCAUCAAUCUGGAACGUGUGCGAUCACGAUGGACACUACCUAACAGAAUAUUUCGUCCGCAACAGCAUAACAACAACAACGACAACAAUAAUAAUAAAUCUACCUAUCAUAAUAUUAUGUGCCGAGUGACCCUCGCGUGUUUUUCGUGUUGAAUACGCGUUAAGUUUUUUUUUUUGUUCUUGUUAUUUUCUAAACCGUAGAUAAAGCUAUAUAUAGUGCCGACGACCACUUCGCGUCACCCCCAAAAAUACCCAAAAUACCACCUACCCCCUACAUAUACACUGCUGCAAUGACGGACCCGUAUGACGACCGACGCAAUCCGUACAAAGAAGUGGGUCGGUGGUGGUGAUACGCGCGACAUGUCGAAUGGUGGUGACGGCGCAGCAGGUGCAGUUUGCGCGUGUGGCCGUCGCCGUUGCCGUCGUCGGGCGGCGUCGUCCUCGUCUCCAUCGCCGUCCGUGCUGGCCGUGUGGACGACGGCGUUCGUGCUGGCCGUGAUCGUAGGCGGCGGCGGGGUCGAAGCGCUACACUCGGCCGCGGCCGUCUCGACGGCUGGUGGCGGCAGUGCGGCUGCGGCAGCUGCGGCGAUGGCGGCGGGCCGGAUGGCGCCGUGCGCCCACUUGGGCGACGAGACCAACGACGUGUCGGCCCGGGCGUACGCGUCCGACGUGGUGUUCGAGGGCAAGGUCCGGUCCAAGGGCCCGGUACGGCCCGGGGAUGGUACGUAUGGCGUCACGUUCGUGGUACAGCGCGUGCACAAAGACGCCAUGCAGGCGGUCACGUACGAGGGACUGCGGGUCGGCAGCCCGGUGCGGCUCAACUUUCGCGAGAAGCGCGGUGACCGCGACCCACCGCAGCGGAGGCCGCCGCUCCAGCGCCGGGUGGACGCACAGUGCGUGCAGCGGUUCGCGCCGGCUGCUGGCGGUCAGACCGUUGAGGCCAACAUCAAACGCGGCGCCAAGUACCUGGUGUUCGUGGCCGGCGUCGGGCCGCACAACCUGUCCGUGCUUGGCGAACCCGUGCCGCGGACGCCCAAGAACGUGGACGCCGUGCAAAAGGUUCUGUGCAGGGACUGCGUUCAGCCAAUCGGCGUGUGGGGACUUCACAACACAACGUUAAAAGUCAAAAGCACUUUGAAGUUGAUGUGCAGAGCCAAAGGCAACCCGAUGCCCGCUCUACAAUGGUUCAAAGACGGCCAACCGAUUUUGGUGGGCAGGCGAAGGAUUCAAUAUAAAAAGAAAAGAUCCAUGCUUGUGAUACCAAAGGUGAGGCCAGAAGACGGAGGCAAGUAUGAGUGCAGAGGUACCGGAGUCCAAACCGGCCAUGUGGCUAUUACGUCGGCCCAAGUAAUAGUUAAUUCCAAACCGGACAACACGACAGCCCUGUGGCCGUUGGUCGGCGGUCCCUGUCCAGCAGAUCUCGUAUAUUGUCUGAACGGGGGCACUUGUACGUUCUACGAAACCAUCGGAGAGCUCGUUUGCCAGUGCGCCGAAGGCUUCAAGGGUCAACGGUGUGAGAACAAAGACAUUGUUAACAAAAGCACCAACGAUCAACCGCUGCAUUAUGUUUUAUUUUCGCUUUUUACCCCUCUUUCGGAAGUGGCGGGUGAAUGAUGUGUAAAAAAACUAUUUAUCCCAACAAUUGUUACGUACAUAGUACACAUGAACUGGACGAGUCAUUUGAAUCGCUCCAAACACACGAAAGUUUGAUCGUAUACAGUACACGGUGGGGGUGUGGAUUUUUGUUUGCAGAUUCAAAACAAAAUAAGAAACAAAAUACCAUUGGAAAUGACACAAAUAAUUUCGGCUAGUGACGCGUUGACACAAUAAUAUGCU